CCGGUUAUGAUUGGGAUGCCCCGCGGCACACCUUAAAGCUUCGACUCGGCUCUUUUUUGUACUAUGCCGGUCACACAAUUCAAUUCAAUCCUCAUAAUUGGUUUCUUACGUUGGACUCUGCUCACCUGUAACUAAUUUUAAGGAAUACUAUCAGAGCCCAUAACACUUCCGAGCAGUUGAAUUUCCUGUAAACGAUUCAAGAAGACCGCGACCCGCAAACAUUUUCCUCUCCGCAGUCCGCACCAGGUCAAUCUAUGUUCACCUGUGAGGUUGUGGAGUUGACGAUGCAAAAGCAGCAUAUCUGCUUCUAGGGCAAAGCUGCUUAUAUUGGCCCUUUCGAGUUAUGUGGUGGCACAAAGCCUUGUGAACAAGGUUUCAAUGGAUGAUCGGGCUUCUAAUAGCUUUGAAACUGCUGAAUCAGACUCUGCAAAAGUAAAAUUACCUGAAAGUGUUUC